rnacentral:rRNA from 1 species
CGUACACUCCUGCGGGAGGCAGCAGUGGGGAAUAUUGGACAAUGGGCGCAAGCCUGAUCCAGCCAUGCCGCGUGAGUGAUGAAGGCCCUAGGGUUGUAAAGCUCUUUUGUGCGGGAAGAUAAUGACGGUACCGCAAGAAUAAGCCCCGGCUAACUUCGUGCCAGCAGCCGCGGUAAUACGAAGGGGGCUAGCGUUGCUCGGAAUCACUGGGCGUAAAGGGUGCGUAGGCGGGUCUUUAAGUCAGGGGUGAAAUCCUGGAGCUCAACUCCAGAACUGCCUUUGAUACUGAAGAUCUUGAGUUCGGGAGAGGUGAGUGGAACUGCGAGUGUAGAGGUGAAAUUCGUAGAUAUUCGCAAGAACACCAGUGGCGAAGGCGGCUCACUGGCCCGAUACUGACGCUGAGGCACGAAAGCGUGGGGAGCAAACAGGAUUAGAAACCCGUGUAGUCCCAUGA